ensembl:lncRNA
AUGAAUCAUAAGUUAAGUAUGUUUAUCAUUGCAGCAGCAAGUCAGAGCAUUCCUAGCAAUAUGAGUCAAAAGGGAAAAACUAAUGUCCCAUGGUGGAAUGAGAAAUGUUCAGGAGCUGUUAAGGACAGAAAUAGAGCUUUUAAAAGGUUGCAUGCAACACUUACAAUGAACAAUCUUAUGGAAUAUCAAAGAAAAAAGGCUUUAGCAAGAAAAGUUAUUAAGGAAGCAAAAAAAAAAGAAUCUUGGAGACAAUUCUGUUCAACAAUUGGAAAAGAAACUACACUAAAUAAAAUGUGGAUGAUGGUUAAAAAGAUGAUAGGUAAAUAUAAACCCCCACGUUCCUGUAUAAAGGAAGGACAAAAUGAAGCAAUAUCAGAUAUGGAGAAAGCCAAUUUACUUGGAUACAAAUUUGCAGAGAUUCAUAAAGGUAGUCAUAUGGAUGAGUGUUUUAAGAGAAGAAAGGAAGAGAUUCUAAAUGCUAAUAAAGACAUUUUUAAUCCUAGAGAGGGAAAUAUGUCUAUAUUAGAUGCUGAAUUUAGUUUAUCAGAAUUUAAAACGGCUUUAGGUAAGACAGGAUACUCUUCGCCAGGAUGUGAUAAUAUAUGUUAUGUAAUGAUUAGAAAUCUACCUAAUAAAUUCUUAGGAAAAAUUCUUGAAUUAUUCAAUAAGAUAUGGCAAGAGGGGAAAUUACCAAAAGUUUGGAAAAGUGGAACCAUCCUUCCAUUUCCCAAACCAGGAAAGGAUUCUAGCAAUCCAGAGAAUUAUAGACCCAUUGCUUUAUCGUCACAUUUAGGUAAAUUAAUGGAAAAGGUAGUAGUUGCACGGUUAAAUUAUUUUCUAGAAUAUAACUGUCCAUUUAAACAAUAUCAAACAGGGUUUAGGAAAAGUAAAUCAACUACUGAUUCCUUAGUAAAGCUCAGCAAUGAAAUAGAGAAAACACUAGUUAUGAAAGAGGUCAUGGUGGCAGUAUUUUUAGAUAUUGAAAAAGCGUAUGACACUAUGUGGAGAGAGGGUCUGUAA